CAGGGGUGUCAAAGCCAAAAAGUUUUUCAAUUGCACUACGAUGAAUUCAAUGUUCUUUCGUGUUUACGAUGGAAUAGGUACUGAUUAAUAAUCAUCAUAAUAUGUAAUAAUAAAAGGAAUAUUGUACAAACAGUUCCUGCAUUUAGGUUUUUCCUAUAAUCGGCUUUACGGCAGCCGGAAGAAGGCGUUAGAAGCUGGCUUAAAUUUGGAAAAUGGUAACGACAAAGGCAGCGAUCCAACCCGGAAUGUUUUGGAAGUUCCGGAAAGUUUAUUGAUAUCAUCGGCGGGAUGCAACGGUAAGCAGCCGUUUAAAUGAAAUCCAGUGAAGAAACCCUGUGGCAUUCGGCUCAUUGAGGAGGACUCAAUAAGAACCACAAGGGAUUGUAGGAACGAUGAUCGGAUGGAUAGCAACGACUAACGGUAGCCAGCGUUCCUCUAUCGGAAAAAUAAAAAUAGGAACAUGCCGUAGUAAUUUGUCCCUGAUGGUUCCACAACUUAUUUGUCCGUAAAGAACGAUUUCCGUGUCUGUCCGUAAAGGACGGUUUGUGGGUAGACAAAUCAAAUCCAAAUACUUUGUCUCAAGAGUACAUCAUUCCUUUUGGCAUCGGAAUCGGUGAAUUGUGUUGCAGUUGGUGUUAUUCAACUUCGGACCCGGCAACGGAAGAGAAACACCUGCUAUGGCUAAAAUG